rnacentral:lncRNA from 1 species
GAACGAUUGCUCAAAUUAUUUCAAUAGUAGAAACAUGAACAAAAUUUUUGUGAUCAAUCUUCUUUUCUGAAAAAAAAAAUAACAUUUUCAUUGGCUAUAACAAUGACUAGAUGCGAUCUAUUAAAACUCAAACAGAUCACUACAAACUUAAUUUUAAGACAACAAUGUCUAGAUUGUAAUAUAUGAAAACUAUAGAUAUAUCCCCUCUGAGAAGCGAGUAAUACUAGCAGUCUAGCAUUUCUUCUUGGAAUGGCAAAUGGUAGUACGAGUCUAUGACAACUAUUAUAUUAUAAGGUGAAAUCCAAAUCAACAAGGAUAACUAACACAUAAUAAUUUUAUGCUCAUCCCAUAAUCAGAGUUAACACAGGCACAUACAAAAUGUAAACGGCAUAAUGAACCCUCCAAAAGAUGCACGGGUUUGCAGACCGCCCUUGAACCAGAACCUGCUUAUACAAAAGAAAAGACAUAAUAAAUCAAUGUCAGUUUAUGCCGCAUAUAUAUAAUAUAUACAUAAAAACUCCUCAAACAAAGAAGAUACUUGUAAGUGGGUAAAUAGAAUGUUCAAGCAGUACCUUUACUUAUCAUCCAAGCCCUCUUACAUAUUGGUCAAGGUUUGUAUUAAAUAGCUCAGAUCUACAC